rnacentral:rRNA from 1 species
AUUGAACGCUGGCGGCAGGCCUAACACAUGCAAGUCGAACGAGUGGCGGACGGGUGAGUAAUGUCUGGGAAACUGCCCGAUGGAGGGGGAUAACUACUGGAAACGGUAGCUAAUACCGCAUACCAUCAGAUGUGCCCAGAUGGGAUUAGCUAGUAGGUGGGGUAAUGGCUCACCUAGGCGACGAUCCCUAGCUGGUCUGAGAGGAUGACCAGCCACACGUGAACUGAGACACGGUCCAGACUCCUACGAGAGGCAGCAGUGGGGAAUAUUGCACAAUGGGCGCAAGCCUGAUGCAGCCAUGCCGCGUGUAUGAAGAAGGCCUUCGGGGUGUAAAGUACUUUCAGCGGGGAGGCGUUACCCACAGAAGAAGCACCGGCUAACUCCGUGCCAGCAGCCGCGGUAAUUC